AGACUGGAACAACUUACCGAAAGGUGAGCUAAUGCCGGAUGAGUUAUAUAAGUGCAUGUUUAUAUAGGAAAAGUUGGGGAGACCUGACGCUGAAAGAUGGACUCGCGUCCCAUUAGCUAGUUGGUAGGGUAAUGGCCUACCAAGGCGACGAUGGGUAGCCGGCCUGAGAGGGUGGCCGGCCACACUGGGACUGAGACACGGCCCAGACUCCUACGGGAGGCAGCAGUGGGGAAUUUUGCGCAAUGCUCGUAAGAGUGACGCAGCGACGCCGCGUGAAUGACGAAGGCCUUCGGGUCGUAAAGUUCUUUCGACAGGGAAGAAAAUGCCUAUAAGUAACUGUGUAUGUAUUGACGGUACCUGUAUAAGCAGCCCCGGCUAACUCCGUGCCAGCAGCCGCGGUAAUACGGAGGGGGCGAGCGUUGUUCGGAGUGACUGGGCGUAAAGAGCACGUAGGCGGUGUUGUAAGUCAUUAGUCAAAGACUAGAGCUCAACUUUAGUAAGGCUAGUGAUACUAUAAUACUAGAGUAUCAGAGAGGAUUGCAGAAUUCCUGGUGUAGCGGUGAAAUGCGUAGAUAUCAGGAGGAAUACCGUUAGCGAAGGCGGCAAUCUGGCUGGAAACUGACGCUGAGGUGCGAAAGCGUGGGUAGCAAACAGGAUUAGAUACCCUGGUAGUCCACGCUGUAAACGAUGGAUGCUAGGUGU
rnacentral:rRNA from 1 species